rnacentral:misc_RNA from 1 species
GGAGCUGUCAAGAAUGCUCAUAAGAGAGGAGAUUGAUGAAAAUUCAACUGUCUACAUAGAUGCGGGGCCGAAGGGAGGUGACUUGGCAUAUCGAGUGGAGAAGAAUGGUGGACUUGUUAAUGCAACCACAGGACAGAAGGCUGAAGUAUUAAUUCAGAUACCCAGUGUCCCCAGGACUGAUGCAGAACAGGCUGUGAAGAGGAUGAAGAUUGCAGAAAUCGUUGAUGACGAUAAAGAGAUGAUCGAGUAAAUUGCCUGGGG